CAUACGGGAGGCAGCAGUGGGGAAUAUUGCACAAUGGGCGAAAGCCUGAUGCAGCGACGCCGCGUGGGGGAUGACGGCCUUCGGGUUGUAAACCCCUUUCAGUAGGGAAGAAGCGAGAGUGACGGUACCUGCAGAAGAAGCGCCGGCUAACUACGUGCCAGCAGCCGCGGUAAUACGUAGGGCGCAAGCGUUGUCCGGAAUUAUUGGGCGUAAAGAGCUUGUAGGUGGCUUGUCGCGUCUGCCGUGAAAACCCGAGGCUCAACCUCGGGCGUGCGGUGGGUACGGGCAGGCUAGAGUGUGGUAGGGGAGACUGGAACUCCUGGUGUAGCGGUGAAAUGCGCAGAUAUCAGGAAGAACACCGAUGGCGAAGGCAGGUCUCUGGGCCAUUACUGACACUGAGAAGCGAAAGCAUGGGUAGCGAACAGGAUUAGAUACCCUGGUAGUCCAUGCCGUAAACGUUGGGCACUAGGUGUGGGGGACAUUCCACGUUUUCCGCGCCGUAGCUAACGCAUUAAGUGCCCCGCCUGGGGAGUACGGCCGCAAGGCUAAAACUCAAAGG
rnacentral:rRNA from 1 species